rnacentral:rRNA from 1 species
CCUACGGGUGGCAGCAGUGAGGAAUAUUGGUCAAUGGACGAGAGUCUGAACCAGCCAAGUAGCGUGAAGGAUGACUGCCCUAUGGGUUGUAAACUUCUUUUAUAUGGGAAUAAAAUGUUUCACGUGUGGGAUUUUGUAUGUACCAUAUGAAUAAGGAUCGGCUAACUCCGUGCCAGCAGCCGCGGUAAUACGGAGGAUCCGAGCGUUAUCCGGAUUUAUUGGGUUUAAAGGGAGCGUAGAUGGGUUGUUAAGUCAGUUGUGAAAUUUUGCGGCUCAACCGUAAAAUUGCAAUUGAUACUGGCAGGCUUGAGUACAGUUGAGGUAGGCGGAAUUCGUGGUGUAGCGGUGAAAUGCUUAGAUAUCACGAAGAACCCCGAUUGCGAAGGCAGCUUACUAAACUGUGACUGACAUUGAUGCUCGAAAGUGUGGGUAUCAAACAGGAUUAGAUACCCCAGUAGUC